GCAUCUUCUUCUUCUUCUUUCGCCUCUUCACUACUGGCGUGACCAAAGCUUCCUGCACCUCCACCUUCAUUUCAGAAUCAACAUUCAGUUCCUCCGCAAUUACAGAAUCAACCUUCGGUGCCUCCACAAAUACAGAAUCAUCCUCCGGUGCCUCCACCACUACAUAAUCAUCCUUCGGUGCCUCCACAACUACAUAAUCAUCCUUCGGUGCCUCCACAACUACAGAAUCAUUUUCCAGAGCCUCCGCCAUUCCAGAAUCAAUUUUAGGUGCCUCCACGAUUACAGAAUCAACCUUCGGUGGCGCCUCCACCAUAACAGAAUCAACUUUCGCUUCGAUAAUUACAGAAUUAACCUUCGAUUCAUCCAUAUCUACAGAAUUACGAUCCUC
rnacentral:lncRNA from 1 species